UACGGGGGGGGCAAGCGUUGUUCGGAAUUACUGGGCGUAAAGGGCUCGUAGGCGGCCAACUAAGUCAGACGUGAAAUCCCUCGGCUCAACCGGGGAACUGCGUCUGAUACUGGAUGGCUUGAGUUCGGGAGAGGGAUGCGGAAUUCCAGGUGUAGCGGUGAAAUGCGUAGAUAUCUGGAGGAACACCGGUGGCGAAGGCGGCAUCCUGGACCAUUACUGACACUGAAAAGCGAAAGCCAGGGGAGCAAACGGG
rnacentral:rRNA from 1 species